UACGGGGGGGGCAAGCGUUGUUCGGAAUUACUGGGCGUAAAGGGCUCGUAGGUGGCCAACUAAGUCAGACGUGAAAUCCCUCAGCUUAACUGGGGAACUGCGUCUGAUACUGGAUGGCUUGAGUUUGGGAGAGGGAUGCGGAAUUCCAGGUGUAGCGGUGAAAUGCGUAGAUAUCUGGAGGAACACCGGUGGCGAAGGCGGCAUCCUGGACCAAUACUGACACUGAGGAGCGAAAGCGUGGGGAGCAAACGGG
rnacentral:rRNA from 1 species